rnacentral:rRNA from 1 species
AUUGAACGCUGGCGGCAGGCUUAACACAUGCAAGUCGAACGAGUGGCGGACGGGUGAGUAAUGUCUGGGAAUCUUGCUUAUGGAGGGGGAUAACUACGGGAAACGGUAGCUAAUACCGCGUACCAUAGGAUGAGCCCAAGUGGGAUUAGGUAGUAGGUGAGGUAAAGGCUCACCUAGCCGACGAUCCCUAGCUGGUCUGAGAGGAUGACCAGCCACACUGGAACUGAGACACGGGCCAGACUCCUACGGGAGGUAGCAGUGGGGAAUAUUGCGCAAUGGGGGCAAGCCUGACGCAGCCAUGCCGCGUGUAUGAAGAAGGCCUUCGGGGUGUAAAGUACUUUCGGUGGGGAGGCGUUACCUGCAGAAGAAGCACCGGCUAACUCCGUGCCAGCAGCCGCGGUAAUUC